CUCAGUUCGGAUUGCAGGCUGCAACUCGCCUGCAUGAAGCCGGAAUCGCUAGUAAUCGCGGAUCAGCACGCCGCGGUGAAUACGUUCCCGGGCCUUGUACACACCGCCCGUCACACCACGAGAGUUUGUAACACCCGAAGUCGGUGAGGUAACCUUUUUGGAGCCAGCCGCCUAAGGUGGGAUAGAUGAUUGGGGUGAAGUCGUAACAAGGUAGCCGUAUCGGAAGGUGCGGCUGGAUCACCUCCUUU
rnacentral:rRNA from 1 species